GCUCUGGAAACAGCUGUUGGAGAAGUCAGGUUGCAUGCGAGCAGAUGAAUUCCACAGCUGGAACUGAGGCACAGAGCAAUAAACACAGUGGAGCCCAUCUCUGCCGUGGUGAGAGGGGGCAUCAGAAGUGACAACAAUGACAAGGACCCAAGGACCGUCCUUCUGACAAGUUUCAGGUAAGAUUCUAUUUAUGCCCCAAUUCUUGUAUUUUUGCAUCCUUGUGGUUGAAAGGGACAUUGAGCUAGAAGGCAAGUGUCGAGAGGGAAAUCUUUCCGUGAGUAGCAUCUGCUGUCAUUUGCCUGCAAACCUGUGUUCUCAGGGCUUUGUGUUACUGGAAUCAUCGGAGGUGAGGUGUGAGCGGGGCUGGGCAGAAGCAUGAGUUGCUUUUUAUGUCUGUCUGGUGACAUUUAUCAUGCUGUAUAAAUUCCUAUCUGGAAAAAAUUCUGUUUGAUGAUAGUUAGCAAUGUUUUGUGCAAUAUAGAGCAUAUGGCUGUGGAGAAUUCAAGUGAUGCUCUUUCAUUCUUAAUUUGUAAUUAUUUUUACACUCAACUGUACUGAGGUCAGAGAGUUUUAAAAAUUAAUGAGAUUUCCUGUGGAGUUCAAAUAGUAAUGCCUACGUGAGCUGCCACAAAAAGAUAAGCUGAUGCUGGUAUAUUUUAAAGAUAGACUUAACUGUCUUUUUUGAACAUACUCCAUUGGAAAUAUUUGGGUUUUCUAUGGUUGAAUGGAUGCUUAAGUAUGUGGGGAUAUUAGUCCUUAAAAAAAUUUUUUUAAUGACCUGGAGAAAUUUUGUCAAAAUUAGACUGUAGAAGAUGAGUGUAUUUUGUAGAAAUAGUGCUAAAACUCAAUCCAUUUAUUGUUAUGGCAUUGGAGAAUAGCUUAUACUUUCGAGGAAAUGACAAAUAACGAGUGAGACACAUGCUAAGAAAAGCUGCAAAUUGCUUUCAUCUGAAGUAAUAGAGAAAAAUUCAGGAGAUACUUAGGGUACAAAAAUUGCUGGCACGAACAAAGAAGCAAGUAUACCCAUAGAUGAGAAUUCUUUGUCACAAAAAUGAAUCCAGGGCAUGGAUUUAGAAGGUUAAGUGAUUUCCACAGUUCUUGGUGCCCCCACAAAAUGGGUGAGUGCAGGCAUUUUAAAACAUACCGAAAACUUUCAUUUCCCACAAUUUAAAAACAUUGUUUGUGUUCCUGAUACAACACGUUGUUUAAAAGAGCGAGAUUGGAAAGCAGUCUGAGUAUACAGUAAUGGGGCUCAAGAUGCUUUUUAUCCUGAGUCCCCCAUUUACAAGACCCAUUCUGAGCUUCCUGCGAUAUAUUGUUAUGUAAAUACUGUGCAGCCAGGGAAAGCAGUACUAUGGAGAUUCAAUUUACUUUGAAAGUUGUUCAUUAUAGCAGGGAUGAAUGUUAUUUAUUUGAUGUGAUUCAAAGGCUGGAAAUGACUUUUUCAUUGUGGCGCCUUUUGUAAGGGGUGCAGGGUGAUCUAAUCUUUUUAAUUUUGGCUUUCACACCAGUGGAGAUGAAAAGAGAUCUGAACUCAUUUAUUGGUUGCUAGGUCUUUCUGGAGACCCAAGUCCUGUUCUUGGUUGCUAUGGCCAGUCUGACCUCAAUCUCUGUGGUUUGGGGGACUUAAGCAGCGUGGGUUUUUUUAUUUUUGUAUUUUGUGUGUGUGUGUAUUGAGGAGCAUGUACCUUGAAUUAUGUCCAAAAUUGUAGCUGAACGUCUUUGUCUGCAAGUGAUAAAUGGUGGCGAACAAUUCAUCAGUUCUUACAAGUAAACACCGCUGUCCCACUAAAAAUAUGUUUUGUUCUGAGUUAAUGGUAUGGAACAAGGCAGCCUCCACACACAGCUAUCUUUUAUUGUAGAGGGGCCUCUGAAACUUGGAGCAAAGUGGAGGAAAUUGGCAUUCAUUUUCGUGUCCAUUAGCAUUUCAUUUGUGAUUCGGACGAUGCGGCUUUAGGUGGAUUGAGGAGGAGAGGGUAGACCUUCCAUUCCCUUGCUUUCUCUUUAGUGGGGGCUGCCUGUGAAACAGGCCUUCUUCCGAUGCCUGGAUUCUGCUAGGGUGCCGAGAAGUCAGGACUAGUUUCUCCUGCCCAGCUUUGCAACUGCCAAGAGCUGAGGCACCAAUAGGUGGGUGUGCUGUGGCUCUGGCGCCUUCGGUCUCCUGCUGGUUCUCGGAGGGAAAGUUGUGUCUGUCAUUGGUGACUCCCAGGAAUGUUUGUGUGCUACUUAAUGGUCCCUGGUCGUCCUUGCAUUCUAGAACCUUGUUAAAAGGAGCCGUGGUGAUUAAGAGGCUGUGGAGUAUACAGCCGUGCUUAGCAGAUGAGCCCUCAUACUUGUCCCCGUUCCCUUAAAAAACUGCUUAAUUGAUGCUGCGGGGAGCACACACUCUGAUGAUAAGACAAUGAUGACAGAAUAGGUAUCAGGAAAGGCUUUUAUUGCUUAUAAGCGCCAUCGGCUUCCUUCCAAGAGAGAUUGCUGCUUUGUGGUAUAGUUUUUUCUUUUAAUAGUAGUGUGCUAAUGGUUUUUAUUCUAACUCGGCCAGCACUGAGUGUCUCCAGGAAAAAGGGGUUCCAUAAGAAGUGGCAUCCUCCUCCAGUUGAAAGGUAAAAACUAAACAUUUUUAAAAGCGCAAUUUUCAAACCAUUUCAUGUACCUCUUGCCGGUAGCAUUAGAAAACUCCUUUCUAAAUGAAACUGUUUAAAAUGUAAACUAUUGUUCUUAACAUAAAAGGUUUAAAGAAGAAACUAUUUCAGGGAAUUUUAUUGUUAGUCAUUUGCUAAAGAUUGCCUCGCUUUUCUGAACAAAAUAGGAUCAGGUACGUUGUGUUUUACCUUCAGCCUGGAAAAUAAGUAGACUUUAUAUUUUAGAGAAAUGAUCAUUUGGGGAUCAAUAAAAAUGAUCUUUAUUUUAUGUAGACUUUAUUUCUAGAACUGGCCGAAAAAACACAAAACAAAACAGGAUUAGGUGAUAUGGAUGGUCUCUUCUGGCUUAAAAACUCUUCAAAGAGUGCUAGUUUUCUGAAAAAAAAAAAAA
ensembl:lncRNA